GGAGAGAUAGGUUGGGGGCUAGGGGUUCCCGAAAUAAUUCAGGACACCUCCCCCGGGUCUAGCCAGGCAUCCCCUGCCCCAGGACAUAGACCUCACUCCCGAAGAAGCCGGGGACUGAAGUGCUGCAGCACCCGCUGCUCCUGGCCGGGCUGGAGCCUCUCUUCAGAAGGGCAGCAGCUCGCUUGUCACAGACCCUGGACUGCAGAAAAGCUGAUUCAGGGAUUUCCGGGCGGCUCCUCCUGUGGGGGAGUGUGCAUCUGCAUACCUGGGUGUUGGGAAGGGUGUGUGCGUGUGUUCAUGUGUGGGCUGGGGGAGAGGACACAUGCCUGAGCCCCUCUAGUCAGGUCUGCUGACCCCUCACUGUUCUUCAGAUGGAAAGGGGGACCUGGGGUAAAGGGCUCAAGGUCAGAUGCUCAGCAGGAGGGCACCAGGGGUUUCCCCCCACUCUGCUACACUCCCGUAACCUACCCCCACCUCGUCAUCCCACACUGAGGAGGGGACCUGUCACCUGAGAUGGGUGUGCGGGCUGAAGAGCAGUACCUGCUGCUCCUCUUCGGUUUCUCCCUGGGGAGAAAAGUGCUUCUGUUUUGAAAUCUCCCCCAAACCUUCUUUUGCUAGGACGAGGGAGGAUGGGACUCAAAUUUCAUUCAGCAGGCUGGAUUCAGGUUCGACUUUGGGGUUUCCUGAUGCUAAGGGUCUGGGGCAGCAUCCUGCUUGACAGGGAAAGCUUAUGCCUUCACGAUUGGAAUGUAGUGCUGCUUAGAUGAAAAGGGAUGGAUGAA
rnacentral:lncRNA from 1 species